rnacentral:rRNA from 1 species
UACGAGGGGUGCAAGCGUUGCUCGGAAUUAUUGGGCGUAAAGGGUAGGUAGGUGGUCUCGUUUGUCUGGGGUGAAAGCCUUGAGCUUAACUCAAGAAGUGCCCUAGAAACGGCGAGACUGGAGUCUUGGAGAGGGUCGUGGAAUUCCCGGUGUAGCGGUGAAAUGCGCAGAUAUCGGGAGGAACACCAGUAGCGAAGGCGGCACUCUGGGCCGGAACUGACGCUGAGGAGCGAAAGCGUGGGGAGCGAACAGG